GGGGUGGUGGCGCAGUUGGCUAGCGGGUAGGUCUCAUAAUCCUGAGGUCGAGAGUUCAAGCCUCUCUCACCCCA
rnacentral:tRNA from 1 species